rnacentral:pre_miRNA from 1 species
GUCGAGUACUUCACUCGUUUCAAAACAAACGUUUGACCGUUCAUUUUAUUAAUAAAAAAAAAUUUAUGAUUACUUUUUUUAUUAUUAGAUGGUAAAACAUAAAUAGUAUUUUAUGUGUGACUAUUUUUUUUAAUUUUUUUAAAUAAAAUAAACGGUUAAACGUUGAACACGGAUAUUUACGGCAUCACUUAUU